AUGAGUCACCGUCGAAGUUUGGCCCGACAGUUUUGCCAAGAUUCCUCCUCCGAAGAUGAGGAACUCAUGAUGGCUGCAAUUGUAGCAGAGGAAGAAGCCCGGUUGGAUGCUCCACGACAUGGAGGUUCACAACCGGGACGUCAAUCUCUUCAGCGCGAUUUUGCGGAACGCUUUCAGAAUCUCCACAAGGACUAUUUUGCAGAGAACCCCACCUUCAAGGCAAGGAUGUUUCGCAAUAGGUAUGAAAUUUGUGCAUCUAUUUCGUUUUCACCAUAG
rnacentral:rRNA from 1 species